AUUGAACGCUGGCGGCAUGCUUUACACAUGCAAGUCGAACGGCAGCGCGGGCUUCGGCCUGGCGGCGAGUGGCGAACGGGUGAGUAAUGCAUCGGAACGUGCCCAGUAGUGGGGGAUAGCCCGGCGAAAGCCGGAUUAAUACCGCAUACGACCUGAGGGUGAAAGCGGGGGACCGAAAGGCCUCGCGCUAUUGGAGCGGCCGAUGUCGGAUUAGCUAGUUGGUGGGGUAAAGGCUUACCAAGGCGACGAUCCGUAGCUGGUCUGAGAGGACGACCAGCCACACUGGGACUGAGACACGGCCCAGACUCCUACGGGAGGCAGCAGUGGGGAAUUUUGGACAAUGGGGGCAACCCUGAUCCAGCCAUGCCGCGUGCGGGAUGAAGGCCUUCGGGUUGUAAACCGCUUUUGUUCGGGAAGAAAUCCUCUGGGCUAAUACCCCGGGGGGAUGACGGUACCGGAAGAAUAAGCACCGGCUAACUACGUG
rnacentral:rRNA from 1 species